rnacentral:rRNA from 1 species
UACGGAGGGGGCUAGCGUUGUUCGGAAUUACUGGGCGUAAAGCGCACGUAGGCGGAUACUUAAGUCAGGGGUGAAAUCCCGGGGCCCAACCCCGGAACUGCCUUUGAUACUGGGUGUCUGGAGGUCGAGAGAGGUGAGUGGAAUUCCGAGUGUAGAGGUGAAAUUCGUAGAUAUUCGGAGGAACACCAGUGGCGAAGGCGGCUCACUGGCUCGAUACUGACGCUGAGGUGCGAAAGCGUGGGGAGCAAACAGG